GAUGAACGCUGGCGGCGUGCCUAAUACAUGCAAGUCGAGCGAACAGACGAGGAGCUUGCUCCUCUGACGUUAGCGGCGGACGGGUGAGUAACACGUGGAUAACCUACCUAUAAGACUGGGAUAACUUCGGGAAACCGGAGCUAAUACCGGAUAAUAUAUUGAACCGCAUGGUUCAAUAGUGAAAGACGGUUUUGCUGUCACUUAUAGAUGGAUCCGCGCCGCAUUAGCUAGUUGGUAAGGUAACGGCUUACCAAGGCAACGAUGCGUAGCCGACCUGAGAGGGUGAUCGGCCACACUGGAACUGAGACACGGUCCAGACUCCUACGGGAGGCAGCAGUAGGGAAUCUUCCGCAAAGGGCGAAAGCUUGACGGAGCAACGCCGCGUGAGUGAUGAAGGUCGUCGGAUCGUAAAACUCUGUUAUUAGGGAAGAACAAAUGUGUAAGUAACUAUGCACGUCUUGACGGUACCUAAUCAGAAAGCCACGGCUAACUACGUG
rnacentral:rRNA from 1 species